rnacentral:rRNA from 1 species
UACUUAGGAACAUGCCUUUGGGUGGGGGAUAACUAUUGGAAACGAUAGCUAAUACCGCAUAACGUCUACGGACCAAAGGGGGCUUCGGCUCCCGCCCAGAGAGUGGCCUAAGCGAGAUUAGCUUGUUGGUGAGGUAAAGGCUCACCAAGGCGACGAUCUCUAGCUGUUCUGAGAGGAAGAUCAGCCACACUGGAACUGAGACACGGUCCAGACUCCUACGGGAGGCAGCAGUGGGGAAUUUUGGACAAUGGGCGCAAGCCUGAUCCAGCAAUGCCGCGUGAGUGAAGAAGGCCUUCCGGU